rnacentral:tRNA from 6 species
GCCCAGGUGGCGGAACUGGCAGACGCGCUACCUUGAGGUGGUAGUCCGGGAAACCGGGUGGAGGUUCGAGUCCUCUCCUGGGCA